AUUCAGUAAAAAUAAACAUAAAAUUAUCUUAAUGACUCGGCAUCAGUGUGCAAAUGUCUGAAAGAAAUCACCAACUACAAGUCACCAUCCCCCAGCACUGUGGAGAAUCAACAACUGGCAGAC